UCUGCGUGCGCUCGGUGAUGCGGCUGAGAGCACGCAGCCACGCCAGGCUGUCCGCAGCACUUAGAUCCGCUUGCGCAAACAUGCUUAGGCUGCAAAGUUACACGCGCUCACCUGCAGGACUUGGCUGUUGUGUUCGGUCAGCUUUGAUGCCGACGCAGAUUUCGCCACACCGCUUCCUUGCUCUAAAGCAAAGAUGCAGAGAAAUCGAAUAGGAAUUUCCCCAAGAGAAUACAAUUGUCACGAUCUCUCUCUUCAUGAAAGAAAAAUAUGAAUACAGUCAUCCCUCAUUUUUCGCGGUCGAUGGGGACAAACUCGCAGGUGUCCAAAUCCAGGCGCGGGGCAGCGGGUCCGGCUUCCCCUCAUCGUAUGUUGAGCAUUUUGACUAUGAUUGGCCCCAUUUUGCUCAAGUCAACGGCGUGCCGGCAAAAUGUCGCGGAAAAAGUCACGUUUUGUGAUGAUUAAGCGGGGUAUGACGCGCUUGGUGGAUGUGUGAGCUAAUUUACUGAGUGGAGACUCAUGCGGACAGACAGGGGAGAGACCGGCGGUGACAUCGUGUGAUGAGAGCCGACUGGAUGACACGCCAGUCGGCUCCGCUCGUUCGCAUGUCUGCGCGUCCGCCCGUAGCGUCCAUCGGCAGCGGCCCGGAGGUGGGAAAAGAAAAGGGGUCAGAACCACUCCAUUAAUUAGUCCUGCGAUGAGUAGCAAGAUGACUCCAAGCUGUCGCAUGAGAGGUGACAUGUUCAUGGACGUUCUUGGGGUCUACAUUUUGGCCAAGAGAUGGCAAGCUUUCACCUGCAGAAGUCGUCAUUGCGAUAUGCUGCUUUGCUGGAAAAAAA